GCCAGGUGUGGUGGCACACACCUGUAAUCCCAGCUACUCAGGAGGCUGAGGCAGGAGAAUCGCUUGAACCUGGGAGGUGGAGGUUGCAGUGAGCCGAGAUGGUGCCACUGCACUCCUGCCUGGGUAACAGAGCAAGACCCUGUCUCAA
rnacentral:SRP_RNA from 1 species